rnacentral:rRNA from 1 species
UACGAAGGUCCCAAGCGUUAUCCGGAUUUAUUGGGUUUAAAGGGUGCGUAGGCGGGUUAUUAAGUCAGUGGUGAAAGCCUUCAGCUUAACUGAAGAAUUGCCAUUGAUACUGAUGAUCUUGAGUAUGAUUGAGGUUGGCGGAAUGUGUCAUGUAGCGGUGAAAUGCUUAGAUACGACACAGAACACCGAUUGCGAAGGCAGCUAACUAAGCCAUAACUGACGCUGAUGCGCGAAAGCUAGGGUAGCAAACGGG